rnacentral:rRNA from 1 species
GAUGAACGCUGGCGGCGUGCCUAAUACAUGCCAGUCGAGCGAACAGACGAGGAGCUUGCUCCUCUGACGUUAGCGGCGGACGGGUGAGUAACACGUGGAUGACCUACCUAUAAGACUGGGAUAACUUCGGGAAACCGGAGCUAAUACCGGAUAAUAUAUUGAACCGCAUGGUUCAAUAGUGAAAGACGGUUUUGCUGUCACUUAUAGAUGGAUCCGCGCCGCAUUAGCUAGUUGGUAAGGUAACAGCUUACCAAGGCAACGAUGCGUAGCCGACCUGAGAGGGUGAUCGGCCACACUGGAACUGAGACACGGUCCAGACUCCUACGGGAGGCAGCAGUAGGGAAUCUUCCGCAAUGGGCGAAAGCCUGACGGAGCAACGCCGCGUGAGUGAUGAAGGUCUUCGGAUCGUAAAACUCUGUUAUUAGGGAAGAACAAAUGUGUAAGUAACUAUGCACGUCUUGACGGUACCUAAUCAGAAAGCCACGGCUAACUACGUG